rnacentral:rRNA from 1 species
GGGGGAAAAUUAAUAAAAUAAAAUUAAUAAAAAAAAUUUUUAAGUUAAAAAUAAAUAAUGGGGGUUAAAGUAUUUUUAAUAGAAAAAAUUUAAAGAUUUAUAGUGAAUUAAGUAUUGUAGGGGAAAUUUGAAAUAGUUUAAAAAUUAAUUAUAUAGAAAGAAAAUUUAAUUUAUUGUAUCUUGUGUAUCAGAGUUUAUUUAAUAAAAUUUUUGAAGAAAAAAAUCUCGAAUUUAAAAGAAUUAAUUAAUUAUAAAAGUUAAUGUAACAUAAUUAUUUUAAAUAAUUAAUUAGAAAUGAAAUGUUAAUCGUUUUUAAAUAUAUCUAGUUAUUUUAGAAAAAAAUUUAAUUUUAAAUUUAAAUAAUUUUAAAAUUUAAUGUAAAAAUUAUAAAAAAUUUAAAUUUAAUAUUUUAAGGGAUAAGCUUUAAAUUAAAAAUUUAUAAUAAAAAUAUAUAAAAAUUAAGAUUUUUAAAAUUUAUAUUGUUUAAAAAUUAAAAUUUAUUAUAAAAAAUUUUAAUGAAAAAUAAAAUUUAAUACAGAAAAAAUUUAAAUUUUUAUAAAAUAAUAAUUUUUAACGGGGGGAAAUUAGUAAUAAUGAUAAAAUUAGUAUAAAUAAUAAAUAUAAGAAUUAAAUAAAGAUUAAAGUUAGUUAAAAGGAAUUCGGCAAAAUAAAUAUUCACUUGUUUAUCAAAAACAUGUCUUUUUGAAUUAUAAUUUAAAGUCUAAUCUGCCCACUGAUAAAUAUUGAAGGGCUGCAGUAUAUUGACUGUACAAAGGUAGCAUAAUCAUUAGUUUUUUAAUUGAAAACUUGUAUGAAGGAUUUGAUGAAAUAUGAACUGUCUCUUACUUAUUAUUAAAAAUUUAUUUUUUAGUUAAAAAGCUAAAAUAAUUUUAAAAGACGAGAAGACCCUAUAGAGUUUUAUAAUUUAUUUAUUAUUAAAAUUAUGUAAAAAUUAAAAUUAAUAUUAAAUAAAUUAUUAUAUUGGGGUGAUAGGAAAAUUGACUUAACUUUUUUUAAAAGUUAACCAUUAAUAAAUGAAUAAAUGAUCCAUUAAUAAUGAUUAUAAGAAAAAAUUACCUUAGGGAUAACAGCGUAAUAUUUUUUUUUAGUUCAAAUAAAAAAAAAAGUUUGCGACCUCGAUGUUGGAUUAAGAUAAAAUUUAAAUGCAAACGUUUAAAAUUUUGAUCUGUUCGAUCAUUAAAAUCUUACAUGAUCUGAGUUCAAACCGGUGUAAGCCAGGUUGGUUUCUAUCUUUAAAUAAAAAAAAUAUUUUAGUACGAAAGGAUCAAAUAUUUAAAAUAAUUUUAUUAUGGGGAUAUUAUUAAUUAAAGUAUAAAAUUA